rnacentral:misc_RNA from 1 species
CUCCUGUUUGUGACUAUGCUUGUAAAGAAGUCAUCAGCUAACAUUUGUCUUAUAGGUGAACCUGCGGAAGGAUCAUUAAAGAGUAAGGGUCUUUUAGGCCCGACCUCCAACCCUUUGUAUACUUAUCUUUGUUGCUUUGGCGGGCCCGCUGGGGAGACCCACCACCGGCCCUGGCCGGUGAGUGCCCGUCAGAGUCCCCCUAAACUCUGUCUAUCAGUGAAGUCUGAGUAUCAUGUAAUAGUUAAAACUUUCAACAACGGAUCUCUUGGUUCU